ACUCAAAUGAAUUGACGGGGGCCCGCACAAGCGGUGGAGUAUGUGGUUCAAUUCGACGCAACGCGCAGAACCUUACCUGGGCUUAACAUCCCACGACAAGCGUAGAGAUACGCCUUCUACUUCGGUAGCGUGGAGAUAGGUGCUGCAUGGCUGUCGUCAGCUCGUGUCGUAAGAUGUUGGGUUAAGUCCCGCAACGAGCGCAACCCCUAUCCUUAGUUACCAUCAUUAAGUUGGGGACUCUAGGGAGACUGCCGGUGUUAAACCGGAGGAAGGCGGGGAUGACGUCAAGUCCUCAUGGCCCUUACGUCCAGGGCUACACACGUACUACAAUGGCAGAAACAAACCGACGCAAAGCCGCGAGGUGGAGCUAAUCGGAAAAACACUGUCUCAGUCCGGAUUGGAGUCUGCAACUCGACUCCAUGAAGUUGGAAUCGCUAGUAAUCGCAGAUCAGCACGCUGCGGUGAAUACGUUCCCGGGCCUUGUACACACCGCCCGU
rnacentral:rRNA from 1 species